CUGGCGGCGUGCUUAACACAUGCAAGUCGAACGGAAAGGCCAGUGCUUGCACUGGUGCUCGAGUGGCGAACGGGUGAGUAACACGUGAGUGAUCUGCCCUGCACUUUGGGAUAAGCCUGGGAAACUGGGUCUAAUACCGGAUAGGACCAUGCUUUAGAUGGUGUGGUGGAAAGUUUUUUCGGUGCAAGAUGAGCUCGCGGCCUAUCAGCUUGUUGGUGGGGUAAUGGCCUACCAAGGCGUCGACGGGUAGCCGGCCUGAGAGGGUGUACGGCCACAUUGGGACUGAGAUACGGCCCAGACUCCUACGGGAGGCAGCAGUGGGGAAUAUUGCACAAUGGGCGGAAGCCUGAUGCAGCGACGCCGCGUGGGGGAUGACGGCCUUCGGGUUGUAAACUCCUUUCGACAGGGACGAAGCGCAAGUGACGGUACCUGUAUAAGAAGCACCGGCUAACUACGUGCCAGCCGCCGCGG
rnacentral:rRNA from 1 species